rnacentral:rRNA from 1 species
GACGAACGCUGGCGGCGUGCUUAACACAUGCAAGUCAAGGGGUAGUAAUACCACUGGCGCACGGGUGAGUAACGCGUAGAUAAUCUGCCCCUAUCCCCGGAAUAACGCUGAGAAAUCGGUGCUAAAAACGGAUGAGGCCUUCGGGUCAAAAGCAAUGGAUAGGGAUGAGUCUGCGUCUGAUUAGCUAGUUGGUGAGGUAACGGCUCACCAAGGCGACGAUCAGUAGCUGGUCUGAGAGGACGAUCAGCCACACUGGAACUGAGACACGGUCCAG